AACGCGAAGAACCUUACCUGGGCUCGAAAUGUUGUGGACCGUGGUGGAAACAUCACUUCCCCGCAAGGGGCUGCAAUAUAGGUGCUGCAUGGCUGUCGUCAGCUCGUGUCGUGAGAUGUUGGGUUAAGUCCCGCAACGAGCGCAACCCUUACCCCCAGUUGCCAUCAUUAAGUUGGGCACUCUGGUGGAACCGCCUCGGAUAACGGGGAGGAAGGUGGGGAUGACGUCAAGUCCUCAUGGCCUUUAUGUCCAGGGCUACACACGUGCUACAAUGGCCGGUACAAACCGUCGCAAACCCGCGAGGGGGAGCUAAUCGGAAAAAGCCGGCCUCAGUUCGGAUCGCAGUCUGCAACUCGACUGCGUGAAGCUGGAAUCGCUAGUAAUCGCGGAUCAGAAUGCCGCGGUGAAUACGUUCCCGGGCCUUGUACACACCGCGCAUA
rnacentral:rRNA from 1 species